UGAAGGGUAGCGAAGAGGCUAAACGCGGCGGACUGUAAAUCCGCUCCUUCGGGUUCGGGGGUUCGAAUCCCUCCCCCUUCCA
rnacentral:tRNA from 1 species